rnacentral:rRNA from 1 species
GAUGAACGCUGGCGGCAGGCCUAACACAUGCAAGUCGAACGAGACCUUCGGGUCUAGUGGCGCACGGGUGCGUAACGCGUGGGAACCUGCCUUUAGGUUCGGAAUAACAGUGAGAAAUUACUGCUAAUACCGGAUGAUGUCUUCGGACCAAAGAUUUAUCGCCUUUAGAUGGGCCCGCGUUGGAUUAGCUAGUUGGUGGGGUAAAGGCCUACCAAGGCGACGAUCCAUAGCUGGUCUGAGAGGAUGAUCAGCCACACUGGGACUGAGACACGGCCCAGACUCCUACGGGAGGCAGCAGUGGGGAAUAUUGGACAAUGGGCGAAAGCCUGAUCCAGCAAUGCCGCGUGAGUGAUGAAGGCCUUAGGGUUGUAAAGCUCUUUUACCCGAGAUGAUAAUGACAGUAUCGGGAGAAUAAGCUCCGGCUAACUCCGUG